rnacentral:rRNA from 1 species
UACAGAGGGGGCAAGCGUUGUUCGGAAUUACUGGGCGUAAAGGGUGCGUAGGUGGUGAGGUAAGUCGGAUGUGAAAUCUCCGAGCUCAACUCGGAAACUGCAUUGGAAACUACCUUGCUCGAGGGUUGGAGGGGGGACUGGAAUGCUUGGUGUAGCAGUGAAAUGCGUAGAUAUCGGGAGGAACACCAGUGGCGAAGGCGACUACCUGGCCUGUUCUUGACGCUGAGGCGCGAAAGCUAGGGGAGCAAACGGG